rnacentral:rRNA from 1 species
UACAGAGGGUGCAAGCGUUGCUCGGAAUUAUUGGGCGUAAAGGGCAGGUAGGUGGUCUCAUUUGUCUGGGGUGAAAGCCUUGAGCUUAACUCAAGAAGUGCCCCGGAAACGGUGAGACUGGAGUAUUGGAGAGGGUCGCGGAAUUCCCGGUGUAGUGGUGGAAUGCGUAGAUAUCGGGAAGAACACCAGUGGCGAAAGCGGCUCUCUGGGGAUCACCUGACGCUGAGGCGCGAAAGCGUGGGGAGCGAACCGG